rnacentral:rRNA from 1 species
GACGAACGCUGGCGGCGUGCCUAAUACAUGCAAGUCGAGCGAGCGGAACCAACAGAUUUACUUCGGUAAUGACGUUGGGAAAGCGAGCGGCGGAUGGGUGAGUAACACGUGGGGAACCUGCCCCGGAGCGGGGGAUAACAUUUGGAAACAGAUGCUAAUACCGCAUAACAACAAAAGCCACAUGGCUUUUGUUUGAAAGAUGGCUUUGGCUAUCACUCUGGGAUGGACCUGCGGUGCAUUAGCUAGUUGGUAAGGUAACGGCUUACCAAGGCGAUGAUGCAUAGCCGAGUUGAGAGACUGAUCGGCCACAUUGGGACUGAGACACGGCCCAA